AAAAUGACUCUCGGCAAUGGAUAUCUCGGCUCUCGCAUCGAUGAAGAGCGCAGCGAAAUGCGAUACGUGGUGCGAAUUGCAGAAUCCCGUGAACCAUCGAGUCUUUGAACGCAAGUUGCGCCCGAGGCCAGCCGGCCAAGGGCACGUCUGCCUGGGCGUCAAGC
rnacentral:rRNA from 2 species